ACCAUCCCACAAUGCCUGCCCUGGCUGCACAUCAGGUGUACAAAAGUGGGAUGUACCCAAUUUUGGCAUCAGGCUGUCAGGAGAGGGAGUUCAGAGUGACUUGGUGAAUUCAGAUCUCCAAACCUAUGGGUAUUUUACUGCCCUAAAUCACCUGCUUACCUGGCUCUGUCCAGAAACCAUUGUGCCCAGGCCAGGAGGAGUCCAGAGAGGCAGGAGGAGCUUUUCUUCAUCUCCUGUUUGAUCUGCAGUCACCCGACACCACCAUCAGCCUUUCACUGCUCUUUGCUGCAGCUGCUGGGAGGAGCCCAGGUGUGGUGAGGGUGAGAAACCAGCUGAGCUGCCCUGGGCAGGCUGAGGGCCUGUGGGGUGCUGAGGGUUACACUUGGCUGAGCAAGGAGCCAGGUCUGCUCCUGUGCAAGGGGAAGUCCUUCUACUGCUUCCUCCUUCCUGACACCUUUGCCUGCUGUUUACUGAGACUGCCUGCAAGCAAGAGCAGAACAAACCUGCCAAGGAUGCAACAGCCCCCCUGGGAUUUCCCACUUUGUCAAAAGCUGCCAAGUUGCAGGUGGGAGAAGCACGCUGGCAAUGAUGUCAUGGCUGCUACACUCAUCCCUGCUGAUGCCUUUUAAAGCAGUAUUUCCACAUGAAAAAAAAGAGACAAAUGCAAACCACAUGACAAGGGAAGCAGAGGAUGUAAAGAGGGAAGCAGAGCUGCCUCCUAAAGCAAUCUGCAGGACUUGCUUCUCUGUUCUCCUGCCUCUCCCCUUAGACACACUGUGAACAGGGUCCAGAUGUGGCUGGGUGUGGAUGUCACCUGUCCCAUUCCCUUGGUUUGUGUGUUGGCAGAGGGCACUUCCAGCUGUCACCCUGUCCUGGUGUCAGCUAGGACAGAGUUAAUUUCUUCUUAGUAGCUGUCACAGUGCUGUGUUUUGGAGUCAGAAUAAGAAAAGGGUUGAUAGCACACUGAUCUUUUGGGUUUCUGCUAUGUUUUGUCAAGAACUGGGUUUUUCUCUUGUCUUAUGGACUUGGCUUUGACAGUGAGGAGGUUCACAGAAGAAUCUGGGAGGGAGAGUAGUUGGGACUCAGGUGACCUCAACCGACCAAAGGGAUAUUCCACAACACAGAAUAUAAUCAUGCCCAGUUUACAAACUAGGGAAGUUUCCUGGAAGAGCAUCCGGUCUGGACUCAGGAAUCAGUUCUGGCAUUGAUCAGCAGGUGGUGAGGAAUUGCAUCAUGCAUCACUUGUUUUCUCCCUUUUUAUUAUCAUUAUCAUUUACCAUUAUUGCUGUAUUUUACUUUAUUCUCAAUGAUUAAACAGCUUUUAUCUCAAC
rnacentral:lncRNA from 1 species